ensembl:lncRNA
CAAGCAAGGGGGCUCGCUCGUCGCUUCUGAGGCCACUUUUUGAGCCUGGCGACAGCAGGGAGUGGCGGCGGUGGCGGCGGCGGCGCUGCUCCGUCUCUGCGUGCACCUCGGCCCUCCCAGUCCCUCCUCUCUCUCACUGAGUAGCUUUGCGGGGAGGAGGAGGGUGAGUGGUGGGAGGGUCUCCAUUGAAAUAAACAAGCAGCCAGUGAUUAAAACGGGAACAUGGCGGCCGCGGAAGACUCAGCAGCUCCAGCUUCCUCUUACAAAGCGAAGGUCAGCGCUGGCGGCAGCUUGGGCGACAGGAGUCGGAGACAUUACUGACCCCGCAGACUUGAGAUGUAUUGGGAUAUUGAAGUUUUUAAGAACACAACGUGUAGUACUGAUUUGCCCGCCUUACUGAGUCUUGGUAAGUUGUCUUUAAAUAAUGUAUUUUAGCAAUGACCAGGGUACUGUUUGGAAAUCAGUUAAAGUAAAUAUUUAUAUAGAGAGUUAAUUCAGAAGUUAUGUUGGAUUGUAUCAUAAUGCAAGUGGUCGCACAACCAGUUUUGCAGUGGAAACAUCCAGCCUGUGACACGUGUUACACACUGGUGUAGGAUCUCUCAGAAAGCACAGCUUACUGUGCAUCAUUCUGUACUCUCAGUACCUCUUGCACAGCUGUUUCCGAUAUUUCCUUAAAAACAGAACUGCUUGAACAGUGAUACUUAGGCUAGCAUAAACUCCAACAGGUUUCUGUCCAUUGUGGCAUAUGAAUUAAGUAUGUAGAUUUUAUGAGAUUAUUUCCUACUUCUAAAAUACCUGCUUUGUUCUAAGGGAGUAGUUCCUUUAUAGUAAUAAUUACCUGCUCUCAAGUCAAUUCUGACUUAUGGUGGCCCUUCAAGGGUUUUCUAGGUAUAAAGUAUUCAGAAGUGGUUUAUUGUUUUCUUUUUCUGGGAGCACACUUGGGACCAUGUAGCUUGCUCAAGGCCAUGUGGUAUGGCUCUUCUCUUACAAGGCAUGUGAGGAAUAGAAAUUCUGACUGUCUGUGAGCUACCUAGUUGAAAUUUAGACCUAUCACAUCUCCUAGAUUAACUGUUAAUCAGAAAUAUUUAAAAUAUGGACAGUAAAUCAGAGCACCAUGAGGUAGUGAAGAAUAUAUUUAAUUCAGUCAAACUAUAGCCAUGCCUGUAUGGGAUAAUGGAGAGCUUUUGCUUGAUCUUGAUUUUUUUUGUUGAGAAAUAACUUGAAACCCAGAUUUGAUGCUGCUUGAAAGGUCAUGUGUUCGCUUCCCAGUUUAGCUGAAAUCCGUAGUUUCUGUUAAUAAUCUAAUUAGACAGGGCAGGAUUGCAGGCCAUUUUAAAUAGUAAUCUUUAGUCUUGGUUUGUAGACAGUAGCUUGCCACCAAAUCAGGCAGAAAUCAAGGAGACAAACAAAAGAAUGGUCAUGUAAACAAAAGCUUUGAUAUUUAAAGUCAGAUUGUGGGAUCCAAAUCCUUCCAAUCCUUUGACCAUGCCCCAACUUGAAAGACUAGAGCCAUCUUGCAGUUUACCUGUUUCAAUAAACCACAAUAACUCUGUGGACA